rnacentral:SRP_RNA from 1 species
GGCCGGGUCCCAUGCAAGCUGGGCCCGCGAACCUGGUCAGGCGGGGAACCGAGCAGCCAUAAGCGUGUUGCCCGGCUGUGCUGUGGGUUAACCCGGCCACC